AGUUUAACUACGAAGGGUAUUUUAUUAUCUAUGGGCAUUUUGUUAUGUGUGAGACAGCUGGCUUCACCACAUCUUUCUUCGAGAUAGUUCCACUCUGAUUUUCUUCGUUCCAUUCUUACCCAUUCCUUCUCCCAUGUCUGAUGUCUCCUCCAAGCUCUCUCCUCUAGGCAGGCUAAAAGCACAAAUUUUUCUGAAGUUUGGUUCUCUACUAUUGUCGAUGAUGAAUCGAUUGUGGCUGUGCAUUAACUGAAGCUCGGUAUGCCAUCUCCAUCCUUUUUCUCUUCUUAUCUCUCUCAAAUUUUCCGCACACUUUUCUUAUUUCAGUGUUAAGUUUUUCUUAGUUGUCCUUUGUGUAAUAUUUUCUUUGCUCAUGUGGUUUCAUUUCUGAUUUUGCUUCAAUAUUUCACGAUUUUGUUUCCAGUUUGUUUACUCUCCAAAAAGGUAAAAUCUCUCUUCUUUCUCCAUCCGGGUCUCUUUGUAAAAUUGUAUUUGAUUCGUAUUUGACUUUUCUCCUGCUGGGAAUUGAUAACAUGGUUAUAUUUUAUUUAAAUUAUGCAUUUGAAAAAAAUUGAGUUUUGCGUCCUAGGUGUUCUCAAAAUCAGACAAACCAGAGAAGACAAUAGGAUAAUUGCAAGGUUUUGAAAUGGAGAAUCCAACUUUGAUUUCCUCCUACCGUAAUAUCGGAAGCUAUUAAAAUCCUUUUUCGUUUUGGGGAUUUGGCUAUAAAAUAAUUUUGUAUUGUUCGUUAUUGCAUGUUUAAAUUAGCUCUCGAUUGUUAUUUUUUUCUUUUUCAUCUUCGAUAAAAUCUAUUACUCAGUCUUAUUUUAUUAAUUCGUCUGAUUGAAUGAAUGCCAACUUUUGUCCUUCGAAGUUUUUUGUUUUGCAUGUUUUGGGUUAUAGUGUGUGAGCUCUCAAUUGGGUUUGUUGUGAAACGCUUUUUCUUUUUCAACUAUGUUAUUUUUUGUUUAUUACUUUUUCUUGAUUUGCUAAAGGGUGGGCAUGCUCGACUGAAAGGAGAGGAAAGCUUCUUCACUUUCGGCAUGUAGCAAUAGACAAGUGAGAAUUUCAAUCAGAAGAGCAAAGUAUUGUGUCGAAUGUAGUCAACAAAUGGGGUUGGCACUUAAGGUACUUUUUGAUCUAAUCUUAGUCUUAUUGAUACUAAAUUUUAGCAGAAUCUUCUCUUCUUACCAAAAUAGUGCUUUAAUCAUGAACUGCUAUUGUUUGAUGUUGAUCUUCAACCAGCCUUUGGCUCAACAACUGGGAAGAUACGGGUGAACAAGGAGAAAAAUAUUAUCCUUUACUGCAGAGGAGAUUUAUGAUAUAACUUUAAUCUAGGUACAAAUUCUUGCUGUAAAUAAAAUUCAAACUAACAACAUCUAAUGGUUAUGCUAUCAUUAAAGUUAACAAAUUUCUACAUGUUUACCACAAGAUUGAACUUGCAAAAAAGUUUCUUUUCCAAAGGAGUCCCGGCCAAUACUAAAUAUUCAAAGUUGGCUUACUCAUGAACUGCUCAAAACCUAAGCUAAAUAAUUAUUUGCGCGAACAUCUGGAAUAAUGUAUAUUCUGUCAUGUGUUGAAUUGAAACAUUCUUCAUUCUCUCACAGCACCAACCUCAACUGACAUUGGCGAAGGCAGCAAAAGAAAGAACCCUUUAGUUGUGACGAUGAAGAAAAUCUUUUGUUGCUCGAAUGAAAAAGUAGAAUUACCGACUGGACAAGGUAAAUCAUUGAAGAUGAAAACAGAACUGGAUCCAACGAUGGAAUGAACUAGUUACCAAUAAAUUGCCGUUUGUUACUCUUUCUAUAAAUAAAUAUAUUUUACAGCUUUUUCUCAAUCGCUCUGUUAUGUGAUAUUACGUAUAAGAUGCAACUCUUCACAUUAGUAUCAUAGAAACUUCUAGGUUUAAGUGGCUUUGACGUAUUGUCUUGUUUGUAAAAAUAUUUGCAGGUAAAGCAAAUCUCUGUUGCAGCUCACUUUUGGCUUUUUGGCUUGUACAUACUGCUGAGCUAUAACUUAAGGUAAAUAUUUUGCUUAUUUGCUAAUCUCUGUUUUCAAACUUAGUGCAUAAUCUCUAUCGCCGUCCUUUAUUUGUUGGGGAGAUUCUGAAAUACUAAAAAAGUGCAACUCUUUCAUAUAGAUAAAAUUUUAAGACUGCCCUUGAAACAUACUUGUUUAGCAAUGGUGUAAAAAGAAUGCGAUAAAAUUGCAUGAUUUCUAUUCCGAUAUAGGUUAUCGGAUAAUCUUGAGUUAUCCUUCUGGUUAGGGGGGAACUGCUGGUGCUACUAAUUUUCUUUUUUUAAUAAGGUAAUGUAUUAUUAGCAAGAAUGUACCAAGAAGGUACACAAGAGUACAAACAGAGCAGACAUCACCUACGAAUAAUCCCCUAUUACGUAUUUCGUAGCAGAUUCAAAAAUUCUAAGUACUGAUCCUUACUAUCUGAUAAACACGUAUUACAGUAGAAACAUAGAUCACGCAGUCAUAAGUUCUUAGUUCUAGAAAUGUGACACCGUUUAUUCUCAAAACGAGCACUAUUUCUUUCACUCUAAAUGAUCCGGAUGCACAAAGGGGUGGUCCUCCCAAGCUGUUUUUGGAACGUUGCCAUCGUUUGUUUCUGCCAGCUAUCCAUUAGGUUCCUGAUAUAUGAAGGCAUAGUUAUAGUGACACCACAAAGAUUCAGAAAGAGCGCCCAACAUUGCUUAGCAACUUUGCAGUGAACAAAAAGAUGGUUAACUGAUUCCAAAGAUAGGAGGGGCCGUUGAUUGAACGGGAAAUGACCUAUUCUGCUUGAAGGAUCUAUUUUCUCCUAAGUUCCUUUCAAUUUAGAUGCCUAAAAUUUAUACCGUGGUCUCAUUUGAAGAGGAAGAUUUAUUGUACUAGAAUAGAAGGACAUCAGUUUCUUCCCAAAAUUUUACAUAUUCCUAAUUGCUCAAGAUUAUGAUUUAUCCUAUCUUGAAGAGGACAUCAUAGGAAGAAAUGGUACCUUCUUUUCAAUGCAAAAUCUGAUUGUACGUGCGUACAUCUUGUUAUAGCCUUUACUGUGGUCAUUUCUGGUACUGCUAUAGUUUAUGGGAUACCAAUUGUAUUGGGAUUCAUUAGCCCAUCAUCAUCAUCAUGUUUUGCUGAUACUGUUAGCGUUCUCAUAGGACAUUUAAACAGAAGAAACUCACUUUUGUGUGGAGAAUGCAGCUGAGAAAGACUCAACUUUAGUCAUUUAUAUGGACAUGUCAACUCUUACCUUUCGUGCCUCAGAGUUGAUCCAUCAUGAGUUGCCGCAUAAUACGUCAGCUAUUGUCAUCCAGUGAAUAGACCAAACAUCAAGCCAAACGUCAAAAAUACACAGUAAGUAAAGUAGAACAACUUCUCAUUCUUACAUUUGUUUGUUAGAUGUCUAUACUGCUGCCUUUCUGUGCUACAUUUAGGACAACAAUCAUUUAUUUUAACAAUUGCAAAGAUGAGAUUCAUAUAUGCAAUUCUUUCGGUAAAUUUAUGUGCUGGCAUUUACAGAUUUAUUAUUGCAUUAAUUUGUGGAAUAAACUUUUAGAUAUCUGAUAGUUUCUUUUCUGAAAAUUAUAAAUUAUUUUAUUACUCGGCACCGAGUCACACUUGUAUCCCUUCAUUUGGUAACUUUAUUUAAGUAUCGUUGGUGCUCCUAAAUUGGAUUUCUCUGUUCAAGGAAUUAAUUGUUAUUUUGUUUCAUUUAUUCCUGAUGUGCUUAUCAAGGUUAUGUAUUGUUGGAAGCUUAUAUGUUCCUUCUUAUUUUGUAUUCUCAUGAGUAGUAUUGAAACACGAUAUGUAGAAACAUAUGGCUCCUGUAGUAAAUCAGUACUCGAGAAGUAAACAUAAAGAGGAUCAUGCAAAAAAGAAUCUUGCUUUGGCCAUACUAUUUAGAUGGAUAAAUUGCCUCGAUUGCAUCUUCUUAUUUCAUAAUAAAUCAGAAUCUAUUGUAAUUGUAGGAUAUCUACCCUCUCUGAAGAGGUAAAAAAUAAGUAGUGUUCCUCUUCGUUUGUUUAUUGUAUUACUAAUAAAAAUAUAAAAGGAAAAUGAAAAAUUCAAUUUAUUAAUGUGCUAUGGAUAUAGCUGAUAUCUCAUAUUUCAAAUUUUAACAGGUAAAUGAGCAACAUAAUAGAUAGUCUGCAGCUUUUAUCACACUGCAGUAAGAUUAGUGGCUACUUUUUCAACUCUGGCUUACUAUAGUAGCUAUCAGCAUUGUUACUCAAAUUUAAUUUGAACUUGUAUAAUUUCUGUAUAAGCUACCUUAGUGAAUUCUAACGUGAUUCUCUUUGUUAGGGCAGAACUGAGGAAUCAGAGAACCCAAGAGAUGAUGCUUCAAGGAAAUUGCGUGAAAGAGACUGGAAAACAUCUGUUGAAAACAAUUGCACAUGUCUAUUUUGACUGAAACUUCAUUCGUUGACUAUGAUUUAUAAUGUAACUUCUUGUGAUUCUUGAGAACAAAUACGAGGGAGCCAACAUUUUUUAGUAGUACAAAGUCAUGGCAAUACAGUAGAUGGCAGUCAAUCAGGAUAUGUAAGUCUGUUUAUGGCGUAAAGUGUAAACAAGGGUGGAAUACAUGUGUUUCUUUGAUACGUGACUCUUCGGCCCGUGCUCUCAUCUAGUAUAUAAUAAGUGAAGGUUAUGAGAUACGACGAAGGGCAUUUUUGUAAUUUAUGUUGCUUUCAUUUGUAAACACGUGUUAUUGUUUGUUUCUUGC
rnacentral:lncRNA from 1 species